rnacentral:rRNA from 1 species
AGAACGAACGUUAGCGGCGCGCCUAAGACAUGCAAGUCGAGCGAGAAAGGGCUUCGGCCCCAGUAAAGCGGCGCACGGGUGAGUAACACGUAGGUCAUCAACCCUCGAGUGGUGGACAACUCUCCGAAAGGAGAGCUAAUACAGCAUGACGCCAGCAAUGGCCAAAGCGGGCCUCUCCAUGGAAGCUCGCGCUUGAGGAUGAGCCUGCGGCCCAUCAGCUAGUUGGUUGGGGUAAUGGCCCACCAAGGCUAAGACGGGUAGCUGGUCUGAGAGGAUGAACAGCCACACUGGAACUGAGACACGGUCCAGACUCCGUACGGGAGGCAGCAGUCGGGAAUCUUCGCAAUGGGCAAAGCCUGACGGAGCGACGCCGCGUGAGCGAUGAAGGUCCUUGGGUUGUAAAGCUCGUGGUGGGGAAGGAAGAAGUAAGGGCAAAGUUAAUAACCUGCCUGAUGACGUACCUCUUAGCAACGCACCGCUAACUCUGUCG